AAUGAACGCUGGCGGCGUGCCUAAGACAUGCAAGUCGUACGAGAAAGUAGCAAUACGAGUAAAGUGGCGCACGGGUGAGUAAUAGUUGGGUAAUACUCCUUCUCGCUGGGGAUAACCAGGCGAAAGCUUGGCUAAUACCGAAUAGUCCGUCGAUUCCCUCGGGGAUUGCCGGUAAAGCCGUAAGGCGCGGGAAGAUUGGCCCAACUCCCAUUAGCUGGUUGGUGGGGUAAAGGCCUACCAAGGCGACGAACUGUAGCGGGUCUGAGAGGAUGACCCGCCACACUGGGACUGAGACACGGCCCAGACUCCUACGGGAGGCAGCGGUGGUGAAUAUUGGAUAAUGGGGGGAACCCUGAUCCAGCCAUCCCGCGUGUGUGAAGAAGGCCUUAUGGUUGUAAAGCACUUUAAGCGAGGAGGAGGCUACUCUAGUUAAUACCUAGGGAUAGUGGACGUUACUCGCAGAAUAAGCACCGGCUAACUCUGUGCCAGCAGCCGCAGUAA
rnacentral:rRNA from 1 species